rnacentral:tRNA from 1 species
AGGUUGUUGGUGUAACGGUAGCAUAAGAGUCUCCAAAACUUUUGGUCGGGGUUCGAAUCCCCGGCAGCCUG